UGAGGAAUAUUGCGCAAUGGAGGAAACUCUGACGCAGCCAUGCCGCGUGAGUGAAGAAGGCCUUAGGGUUGUAAAGCUCUUUCAGAUGCGAAGAUAAUGACGGUAACAUCAGAAGAAGCCCCGGCUAAAUUCGUGCCAGCAGCCGCGGUAAUACGAAUGGGGCGAGCGUUGUUCGGAAUCACUGGGCGUAAAGCGUAUGUAGGCGGACUUGAAAGUCAGAAGUGAAAUCCCGAGGCUCAACCUCGGAAUUGCUUUUGAAACUCCAAGUCUCGAGUCCCGGAGGGGCCAGUAGAAUUCCUAGUGUAGAGGUGAAAUUCGCAGAUAUUAGGAGGAAUACCAGUGGCGUAGGCGACUGGCUGGACGGGUACUGACGCUGAGAUACGAAAGCGUGGGGAGCAAACAGGAUUAGAUACCCCCGUAGUCC
rnacentral:rRNA from 1 species